UAGGGAAUUGUUCGCAAUGGGCGCAAGCCUGACGCAGCGACGCCGCGUGAGUGAUGAAGGCCUUCGGGUUGUAAAGCUCUGUGGAGGGGGAAGAAUAAGGCAUGGCUAACAUCCAUGUUGAUGACGGUACCCCUUUAGCAAGCACCGGCUAACUCUGUGCCAGCAGCCGCGGUAAUACAGAGGGUGCGAGCGUUGUCCGGAAUUACUGGGCGUAAAGGGCGCGUAGGCGGCUUGAUAAGUAGGAGGUGAAAUUCCAUGGCUCAACCAUGGAUCGGCCUUCUAGACUGUCAGGCUUGAGCACGGUAGAGGCAGAUGGAAUUCCCGGUGUAGCGGUGGAAUGCGUAGAGAUCGGGAAGAACACCAGUGGCGAAGGCGGUCUGCUGGGCCGUUGCUGACGCUGAGGCGCGACAGCGUGGGGAGCAAA
rnacentral:rRNA from 1 species